CUAUUUAAUUGACGCUAACAAAGCACAAAAAUUUUACUUAUAAGUGAUCAAAAAGAAUAUUUUUUAUUACAUGCAUACGAGAAAAAAUAUGGAUUUGGUUCACAUGUUUGUUUAUGCUUUCACCAUCUUUCUUUCUAUACCUCUUCCUCCCGUUAGAAGUGACUUUCCAUGCAAAACUAAAGUUGAUUGUCCACAACAUAAAAAAUACAUUGCUGAAUGUAUUUUUGGUUUUUGUCGCCAUUUUAAACCCUUAGAACAUCCAUUUUAAAAAUAAUUAUGUUAUCUCUAAGCAUGUAGUUUUAUUUAUAUGUAAUAAUGUUCAUAAUAAUGUUUUUACUUUUAUAAUUUACUUUAAAGUUUGUUUAUAUUCUAUGGAUGAAACAUGUAUUAUUUAUUAUUAUUAUUAUUAUAUGCAAAUAGUUAACUUUGCAUAUAAAAUAUACCACAAGAAAUAAUGUCAUCAACAACAACAACAACAACAACAAUAAUAAUAAUAAUAAUAAGCUACUUUAAUACAUAAAUGCAAUAUAUCAUUAUCUUCUGAUUCUAGAAAAAUAUUGGAAAGGUUUGUAAGGCCUAACUCAACUGAAAAUGCUGAAAAUAUUAGGAUGAUAAUUUUAUUUUGGAUAUUCAUAUUCGAACUUGUAAUAGUGCUAUCAUUCAACUCAUACAAUUUAUACAUUUGAUUUGUUUAACUUUUAUAUAAAAUGUAGGAAAAAAAUGAUCUUAUGAUCCUUUUAAUUUAUAAAUAAUGUGUUGUCACCUCUUCUAGGAUUAUUGAUUUAACUAAUUUAUUUUUUUAAUUGAUCACUAUUAGUUCUCUUUUCAAUUGUGUCCCUUAUCUAUUAUGAAAAGCUAAAAUGUAAUAUAUAUAUAUAUAUAUAUAUAUAUAUAUAUAUAUAUAUAUAUAAUAAUAAUUAUGUGACGUAUUGACAUAUAUAUAUCGAUAUAUUGAUGAUCCUCUAGAAUUUUAAGUGAGAUCAUUACUAAGGUUAAAUGGCCAAUUGAGUGAGUUAUUGAGGAUAAACAUGACAUUUUACUUAGAGACAUUUUAUAUUAAAUUUCAAUUUAAUAAAUUGCUUCUAGAAAUUAUAAAGUGAUAGACACUAUUUAAUUGGCGCCAACAAAGCACGGAAAUUUUACUUAUAAGUGUAAAAAAGAAUAGUUUUUAUUACAUGCAAACGAGGAAAAAUAUGGAUUUGGUUCACAUGUUUGUUUAUGCGUUCAUCAUCUUUCUUUCUAUACAUCUUCCUACUGUAAGAAGUGACAUUCCAUGCAAAACUAAAGCAGAUUGUACACAACAUAGAAAAUACUUCGCGGAAUGCAUUUUUGGUUUUUGUCGUCAUUUUAAACACUUAGAACAUCCAUUUUAAAAAUAGUUAUGUUACCACUAAGCAUAUAGUUUCACUUGUAUGUAAUAAUGAUUAUAAUAAUGUUUCAACUUUUAUAAUUUACUUUAAAGUUUGAUAUAUAUUCCAUGGAUGAAA